rnacentral:rRNA from 1 species
AUUGAACGCUGGCGGCAUGCCUUACACAUGCAAGUCGAACGGCAGCACGGGAGCAAUCCUGGUGGCGAGUGGCGAACGGGUGAGUAAAGUAUCGGAACGUGCCCAGUCGGGGGGGAUAACGUAGCGAAAGUUACGCUAAUACCGCAUACGAUCUACGGAUGAAAGCGGGGGAUCGCAAGACCUCGCGCGAUUGGAGCGGCCGAUAUCAGAUUAGGUAGGUGGUGGGGUAAAGGCUUGCCAAGCCGACGAUCUGUAGCGGGUCUGAGAGGAAGACAAGCCACCCUGGGACUAGGACACGGCCCAGACCCCUACGGGAGGCAGCAGUGGGGAAUUUUGGACAAUGGGCGAAAGCCUGAUCCAGCCAUGCCGCGUGCAGGAUGAAGGCCUUCGGGUUGUAAACUGCUUUUGUACGGAACGAAAAGGUUUGGCCUAAUAAGCUGAGCUCAUGACGGUACCGUAAGAAUAAGCACCGGCUAACUACGUGCCAGCAGCCGCCGUAA